UAUUACAGGCCGAAUCUAACUCAGGAGCGGGAGAACCAUUUCUUUGGGGUGAAUUCAUAAUUAUAUAUGAAAGAAUAACUCUUAUUCUAACCCGUCAGCUAAUCUCGUAGGCUUUAAUGAGAGGAG
rnacentral:sRNA from 1 species